rnacentral:lncRNA from 1 species
GCGCACCGGCCAGCUAGCCCCUUUGUGCGGCGGGGGCUGCGGAGUGCUCCCUCCAAGACCGGUUGCACCCCGCUUUCCUGGCCAGGACUCUGGGCGCGGUUGGAGGCAUCUGUCCACCCAUGUGGUUCCAGACACGUUCAUGUGGCCACCAUGACCCCGUCGGCAUCACAGGGGUAACCAAGAGAGCAGCAAGUUCCUGGGACAGAGGAGACAGAAGGGAAUUUCCAGGUUCUUCAGGACGUUCACAACCACACUGAGAAGCAUCUUUGCAGAUAAGUAUUUAAACUUACCAGCCCAUAGCCUACCAGCCUGCCCUCUUCUGGUCUGUGCAGGAAAGUGUAGUAUCCUAGAAUGCCAAAGUGGGAGGGGAAAUGGGUGAUGUAGCUCAUUCUCUUUUCUACCUCUAUGGAAGAAAGAAAGAGCCUGUCCCCAUUUUGUGGGGUCCCAGAAAGGGUGAUUUUCACACUUCACAUUUGGCGUUAGGGCUAGUAUUUCACAAACAUUACCGUCUGGAACUUUUGAAGGCUGAGUUAAAUGACUUCAUCUUGUGUACUUGUAGAACUGCUAUUAGAAGGAGGCUGGGGACUCCCUGAUGAUGUGAACCAGCCCUUCUCUUCUCAGUUUCAGCACUUUGUGAUCAUAUUUAUAAACCUUGGACAGGGCUCCUUGGCCUUAGAGUUAAGUGAAGAGUUAACACUGUGACUUUAGAUGCAUUUUUCUCAGUGUAAGUGUCUGAGCUCAUCUCCAGUUCUGGACUCGUGCCCCCACUCCCGGGUGCUGACAGCAAGCUCUGAAGAUAUGCUGAGAGAGCUCCCUGACUCUCCUGACUCAGGUCUGCCAGUUGAUG